GUGUGAUUUAUUAUGUUCGGUGUUAUUUUUAGUCUGUGCCAUAGCAAGGUCUUAUUAUACGCAGCCAAGGACGAGAAAUCAUAAGCAAUAUUAUUAAUUUCAUGAAAAAAUUGGCAGAUAAAGGAGUUACUAUCCCUUUGAAAAAUUACAGGUGUUUUGCAGAAAAUAAAUGACCGGCAAAUCUUGACAGAAGCAAUAAGUGUAAGCAGCUUGAAUCGGCUCCUUAAAAAAAUUGGUUUCAGAUGGCAGAAAAUGUCAGACCGAAGAAAAAUUUUGUGUGAAUCACACGACAUUCGCCUGAAACGAAUAAAUUACCUAAAGAAGCUGAUAGAAUACCGUAACGAAGGCCGCAAUAUAUGUUAUACUGAUGAAACUUACAUACACAGCAGCCAAUAAAGUACAAAAUAAACGAACUGUUACAACAUGGGCACCGUGUACUACGUUUACCUCCUUAUCAUCCAGAACUAAACCCGAUCGAAAAAAUCUGUUUAUUAGUAAAAAAUUGGGUAGCUGCGCACAAUACAACAUUUAAACUGUCCGAAACGGAGGCACUCGCUAGGCAGAAAUUUGAGGAGGUAUCGGAACAAGAGUGGUAUAAUAUUUGCCAACAUGUUAAAAAAUAUGAGAAUGACCUUAUACAAAAAGAGCACAUCUUAGACCACACUCUAGAUCACUUAAUAUUUACAGUAAAUAUGGGUUCAUCGGAAGAAAGUGAAGACAAAAACA